GAUGAACGCUGGCGGCGUGCCUAAUACAUGCAAGUCGAGCGAACAGACGAGGAGCUUGCUCCUCUGACGUUAGCGGCGGACGGGUGAGUAACACGUGGAUAACCUACCUAUAAGACUGGGAUAACUUCGGGAAACCGGAGCUAAUACCGGAUAAUAUAUUGAACCGCAUGGUUCAAUAGUGAAAGACGGUUUUGCUGUCACUUAUAGAUGGAUCCGCGCCGCAUUAGCUAGUUGGUAAGGUAACGGCUUACCAAGGCAACGAUGCGUAGCCGACCUGAGAGGGUGAUCGGCCACACUGGAACUGAGACACGGUCCAGACUCCUACGGGAGGCAGCAGUAGGGAAUCUUCCGCAAUGGGCGAAAGCCUGACGGAGUAACGCCGCGUGAGUGAUGAAGGUCUUCGGAUCGUAAAACUCUGUUAUUAGGGAAGAACAAAUGUGUAAGUAACUAUGCACGUCCUGACGGUACCUAAUCAGAAAGCCACGGCUAACUACGUG
rnacentral:rRNA from 1 species